rnacentral:rRNA from 1 species
CCUCUUGCAAAAUCAAUGUAUAAGAGGUCUCGCCUGCCCUGUGACUAUAUGUUUAACGACCGCGGUAUUUUGACCGUGCAAAGGUAGCGCAAUCACUUGUUUUUUAAAUGGAGACCUGUAUGAAUGGCACCACGAGGGCUUGGCUGUCUCCCCCUCCCAGUCAAUGAAAUUGAUUUCCCCGUGCAGAAGCGGGGAUAAAAACAUAAGACGAGAAGACCCUAUGGAGCUUAAGACGCCAGAGCAGCUCAUGUUAAACACCCCCAGAUAAAGGGAAAAAACCAAAUGAACCCUGUCCUAAUGUCUUUGGUUGGGGCGACCGAGGGGAAAUACAAAACCCCCAUGUGGAAUAGGAACACUAUGUUCCUACAUCCAAGAGCUCCCGCUCUAAUAAACAGAACUUCUGACCAACUAGAUCCGCAAUGCCGAUCAACGGACCGAGUUACCCUAGGGAUAACAGCGCAAUCCCCUUAAAGAGCCCUUAUCGACAAGGGGGUUUACGACCUCGAUGUUGGUCAGGACAUCCUAAUGGUGCAGCCGCUAUUAAGGGUUCGUUUGUUCAACGAUUGAAGUCCU